rnacentral:rRNA from 1 species
CCUACGGGGGGCUGCAGUAAGGAAUUUUCGGCAAUGGGCGCAAGCCUGACCGAGCAACGCCGCGUGGAGGAUGACGGCCUUCGGGUUGUAAACUCCUUUUCUGGGGGACGAAACUGACGGUACCCCAGGAAGAAGCCCCGGCUAACUCUGUGCCAGCAGCCGCGGUAAGACAGAGGGGGCAAGCGUUGUCCGGAGUUACUGGGCGUAAAGCGUCCGCAGGCGGUACCCUACGUGGAGUGUGAAAGCGCCGGGCUUAACCCGGCGAGGCCAUUGCAAACGGGGGCACUCGAGGGCGGCAGAGGAGUGGGGAAUUGCCGGUGUAGUGGUGAAAUGCGUAGAGAUCGGCAGGAACACCAAAGGGGAAGCCACCACUCUGGGCCGCACCUGACGCUCAGGGACGAAAGCGUGGGGAGCGAACCGGCUUAGAUACCCCAGUAGUC